UACGUAGGGGGCAAGCGUUGUCCGGAAUCAUUGGGCGUAAAGAGCGUGUAGGCGGCUCGGUAAGUCCGCUCUGAAAGCCCGGGGCUCAACCCCGGGAGGCGGGCGGAUACUGUCGGGCUAGAGUCCGGAAGAGGCGAGUGGAAUUCCUGGUGUAGCGGUGAAAUGCGCAGAUAUCAGGAGGAACACCUGUGGUGUAGACAGCUUACUGGACCAUUUCUGACGCUGAGACACGAAAGCGUGGGUAGCAAACAGG
rnacentral:rRNA from 1 species